rnacentral:tRNA from 1 species
UCCCUGGUGGUCCAGUGGUUAAGACUCUGCACUUUCACUGCCCGUGGCCCAGGUUCAAUCCCUGGUUAGAGAA